GCAUCAUCAUCGCCGUCAUCGUC
rnacentral:sRNA from 1 species